rnacentral:rRNA from 1 species
CUACGGGAUGCUCCAGUGGGGAAUAUUGCACAAUGGGCGCAAGCCUGAUGCAGCAACGCCGCGUGAGGGAUGAAGGCCUUCGGGUUGUAAACCUCUUUUAGCAGGGAAGAAGCGAAAGUGACGGUACCUGCAGAAAAAGCACCGGCUAACUACGUGCCAGCAGCCGCGGUAAUACGUAGGGUGCAAGCGUUGUCCGGAAUUAUUGGGCGUAAAGAGCUCGUAGGCGGUUUGGCACGUCUGCUGUGAAAAUCCAAGGCUCAACCUUGGACUUGCAGUGGGUACGGGCAGGCUAGAGUGCGGUAGGGGAGAUGGGAAUUCCUGGUGUAGCGGUGGAAUGCGCAGAUAUCAGGAGGAACACCAAUGGCGAAGGCACAUCUCUGGGCCGUAACUGACGCUGAGGAGCGAAAGCGUGGGGAGCGAACAGGAUUAGAUACCCUGGUAGUC